UCGCCGUGCCGCGCUGCCGUUGCCAAGGGCUCGGCGGGCAGCGAUGGUGAAGGAAACCAUCCGGGUGUACGCGCGGGUGAAGCCGCUGGGCAGGCGGCAGCAGGCGGGGAGCUAUUCAGUGGAUGAUGAGGAGGAUCCCCUCUCCAGUCUGGAGAUUACUGUGCCACGUGACUUAGCAGAUGGGUUCGUCAAUAAUAAACGAGAGACCUACAAAUUCAAAUUUCAGAAAAUUUUUGAUCAAGAGGCAAAACAAGAUGUGGUUUUUGACAGCAUUGCCAAACCAGUAGCAGAAUGUGUUUUGGCUGGAUAUAAUGGUACUAUCUUUGCAUAUGGUCAGACAGGCAGUGGCAAAACUUUUACCAUCACAGGAGGAGCAGAACGUUACAGUGAUCGAGGCAUUAUUCCCAGGACCCUAUCUUAUGUUUUUGAUCAAUUGCAAAAGGAUAGCAGUAAAAUGUAUACAACUCACGUUUCCUACUUAGAAAUCUACAAUGAAUGUGGUUAUGAUCUGUUGGACCCAAGGCAUGAGGCCUCCAGAUUGGAAGACUUGCCAAAAGUGACAAUAAUGGAAGACUCUGAUCAAAACAUUCAUCUGAAAAACUUGUCUCUUCAGCAAGCAACAAAUGAAGAGGAAGCCUUAAACCUACUCUUCUUGGGAGACACCAACAGAAUGAUUGCUGAGACACCAAUGAAUCAAGCCUCCAGCCGAUCUCACUGCAUUUUCACUAUUCACAUCUCCAGCAAGGAACCUGGAUCUGCAACUAUCAGACGCUCCAAGUUGCACUUAGUAGACCUUGCUGGAUCAGAGCGCGUUGCGAAGACUGGAGUUGGAGGUCACUUGCUGACAGAAGCCAAAUAUAUUAACUUGUCAUUGCAUUAUUUGGAACAGGUAAUAAUUGCCCUCGCGGAGAAAAACCGAUCCCACAUUCCUUACCGAAACUCUAUGAUGACCUCAGUGCUAAGAGACAGCCUGGGAGGAAACUGCAUGACUGCCAUGAUAGCAACGCUCUCUAUAGACAAAAGAAACAUAGAUGAAUCUAUAUCAACCUGCAGAUUUGCACAGCGAGUUGCUCUUAUUAAGAAUGAAGCAGUUCUUAAUGAAGAAAUUGACCCCAGAUUGAUGAUUGUCCAGCUGAAAAAGGAGAUCCAGGAUUUGAAGGAUGAGUUGGAGCUGGUGACUGGCAAGCAAAGAACGUCAGAGCUUACACAAGAAGAGCUACUUCAGUUGGAUGAGUUAAUUGAAACAUUCCUCAAAGAUAAUGAUCCUGAUAGCACUCUGGAUGUUGGUGCUGACAUGCGCAAGAUCAAGUAUUGCUUCAUUCAUAUGAAGCAACUAGUGAAUCAUCCCACAAAUUCUGAUAAAAAACUGCUCUCGCAAGACAUCUCUGAAGAAGAAGACACUAACAAAGAAUUGAGAGGAGAAGAACUGAAAAAACUUAAACACCUUCUGCAGCAAAGAGACGAUGAAAUCAAUAUUCUGAUUAAUAUGCUAAAAAAAGAAAAAAAGAAAGCACAAGAUGCUGUUUCCCAGCUUAAUGCCACGUCUGCUUGUUCUUCAGCCUUGGAGCAGUCUGUUUCUAUAAACUUGGAAGAUAGGCAGAGCCUAUCUAGCUGUUUUAGUCUGAAAGAGGCAAAAGAUUUCAGCUCUUCUAUUCACAGACUACCUUUUCUUUCCAGACAAACAGGAGGAAAGAUGUCACUUGGAUGUCAGGAAGCUUUUGAAGUUUUCAAGCGGGACCAUGCUGACAGUAUAACCAUUGAGGACAACAAACAGCUUCUGAAACAAAGGUUUGCUGAAGUUAAGUGCCUUGGCGAAAAACUAAAUGAAGUGAGAAGUAAAAUAAACCGUCUGAAAGGAGAGAUAACCCAGAGGCACAUUCAGAGAGCAGCUCUAGCUGUUUCAAGUCCUUCUGAAGAGUUAAAUAUGUUUGAUCCUGUAGAAGAGAAACUUAGAAUGCAAAUUGAAGAAGAAAAAAAAAGUUAUAAAACAAUGUUCAAUCGCUUCAAAGGGCUGAAGGUAGAGAUUGAGCACCUACAGCUUCUUAUGGAAAAAGUGAAGAUGAAGAUGCAAAAAGACUUUGAAGUCUGGUGGUCUGAAGAGGCAAAAAAUUUACAGCACGAAAAGCCAGAGAUGGUUACAUCACCGAAUACUGUGACUGCCUAUCCCCGGUUUAUCAAAUCCUUGCAGCACCUACCAGCUAACAGUUUUUCAGAGACCACAAGAGUCAGCCCUAAUGAAGAUCCAGAUGGGAAAAACAAUUCCAUCACUUUUAGUAAUCCUACUUUAAAAACAAGGAUCCCACCAAGUUCAAGUACAUCUAUUCCUCUGACUGGAGACAGCCAGGCUGAUGCUGACAUCCUAGCUUUCAUUAAAGCAAGACAGAGGAUCCUGCAAAAGAAAGGCUUGGAGAACAAAUGAAAUUCUUGUCACGGUCCACCAUUUCCUUUUAGAAAAGUGAAAGACCUUUAUUCUUUGCCUUCCUCUUCUGUUUAGAAACAGCUGCUGGAGAAGCAGGCAGAGACCCACUUUCGGGACCAGUUCCAGCUGGAGAAGCUCAGCUUCCUGCAGAACUACACAUGCUUGGACAGGCAAGCCCUGGAGAAGUUUGUACAGGUAAGAGGAACAAGUUCCCAUUAUUUUGGCUCAAGCAUUAUUUUCUUUAGAAGAAAUUAUACUAUUGUGGCCAAGCACAUUAUAAACUGAUCAGCUGUCCAUGAUAUUAAAGGUCUAACUGUUUAAAUUAAAGGCAGAGGUUUCUCAAGCCCAUUCAUAUAUCUCUUUAUCUUGAUCUAUUGAACUACUUUCUUCUCCCAGUCAUGAAUGCCCAAAAUAUGUAAAUCUGCCUGAUGCACUUUUGUGCUACGUUGCAGCAGUUUCAACUUCAUGGUUCUCAGCUCCCUCAUUAAUUAUUACAGGGAAUUAUGCAUGGGGAAAAAAUCAAGAAUCAAACCUAAAUAAGUAGGUUGUCCUUCCAAGGUUCUCCAGUCCAAAUCUGUGCAAAUUCUUCCCUUUUGUACUAGAAAUUGUCUACUGUCUUUGAAGGUGGUCCUGCACUCACAGGCCUCUAAAGAAAAGAUAAAGCCAACUAUCACUUACUGUGUUACCUAUCUCUUGUAAGAAGAGAUAAAGAGCUCUUAUUCAAUAUGGGUUGUCAAUUAAUGACAUCUUCAAUUACAUUUUAAUCUGUUUCUCAAAACUGGCUGGAGAUACCUUUCUUGGUAUUAUAUUCUCAUACUAGUAUUGCAAGAACUGGAUAGAAAUCCUUAAACUACCACUUUCUUUGUGCUCAGAAUCUACCCAGAUGCAGAGCUGGGUGCGUAAAUAGUUUGAUCUCUUUCUACCAUGUCACUAAACCUGAUAAAAACUCUAAACGUGCCGCAAGUUCGCGCUGCCCAAGUCAGAAGAUUUCCACGAAGGUACGUGCUUUUGAUAAACAAAAAGCCUAGAUUUUGUAAAUUUAUUUAAGCAAACAGUGAAUUUCAGAUUAAAAAGGGUAGCAAAGGUGCCUGAACCUCUGUCUACAAAGUAAAUGUUCUGAUUACCAAUAUUGUGAUGUAUUUCUUGUGGAACACGGCAUUGGCCUGAAAAUUACUAGUUUUCAAGAACUUACAUGCCUAAAAACAUGUCUAUUUUAUUCAGCUAUAGCAUUCAGUGAUAUUACCUGUCCUUUCCUUAUGUCUCAGAUAGUGAUUGUAGAGGCGAAAACCCUGAUUCUCAUUCUAAACCUAGCUGGGAUACCUUAUAGGAUUUAAAGGUUUAGUUAAAUCUCUGCUACCCUAGAAAUCUUAGGGGAGGUUCACACGUGUCCAGAUUCUUAUCACUCUGGCUCCAGUGGAGCUUUCUUAGCACUGCCGUGCCACUCAGAGAAUCACAUUUUGUUAUGUCUCUGCAGAAUGAAAUACAAUUUCACUUGUAAGCUGUUCCAGAUAAAACCGGCUGAGGGCACUAAAUCACCUACAAUGCACCAAGCUUCAAAGUACUUGGUAGUCCUCAAGGUUCACAUAAAUGCAGGUCCUCUCUGACUCACCUGUUAUUUAUAAGACUUGUUAAGAAAUUUGUCUAACUCUUAUUAAUAUUAGGAAAUACUACUCUUCCCAUAUAAAAUCUCUAACUUUAAAAUUAAUGCAGGGAAGCAGUUGUAUCUCUGCAUGUUUUAACUAUCAUGUCAGAAGUUCCACUCUGAAAAGUCACAGUAGUCUCACAGACUGCAGUGAGACACAGCCCCUAGACUCAGUCUGCUCAGCUAACAAGAUGUCUUGUCUUAAUACCCAUUCCUUAAACCUAAAUCCUUAAAUAUGGGAUUCAACCCAGGUUUCUUUUUGCAUAUCUAUGAUCACUAAUGAUAGAGUUACCACUUUUAAUUCAUUAUUUUUUACUCGAUUGUGCAGGAAACAAAUUUUUGUAAUUCCGUAUCAAUAAACUGCAUUGGCUCUGCAUGGCUAAAACUGUCUAGCUGAGAGGUGGCCCCUGAGCUGCAGCUCCUAAAAUGAGAAGCCUGGAGCUUUGGGAAAGUGCAAAUCCAAAUUCUGUGAUCUAAUGCAUCUCUGGCAAACAAACAUCAGUCAGGAAAUAAUGCCAUUCUGACAACAUAACUGAGAUGCAUUGAGCAAGGAGGUUCCCUUGAUGAGUGCCCAUUUUGAUUAUGUCCAUACUUUUUCAGCCUCAAAGGAACUGAUCUAAACAUAGACUGAAAGGACCAAAUCCUUGUCUAUGACAAGUGGCUGCAAUGUGCAUCGGCAAGGGGACAGGAGGAGAAACAGCAGGAAGUUUUUAUUCUCUCCACAUCCUACUGUAGCUUUAUAUAGGUUUCAUACUCCUUCUGUAAAUUACAGCACUUUGCUUUUACCUACAGGCUACUUCUGUUCCCAAAGGCAACAGCUAACGCUCACCAACCAUUCAUCAGCUGCUCUGAUCACGCCCCAGCUGUAACCCUUACCUGAGUUGUAGAUGAAAGGAGCUAGGAACCAUUUUAACUGUCCCACAGGAACUUGUUUGUUUAGGAACAAUUCUCCUGGGCACCAGGAUGCCACUUAUUUCAUGGGGUUGUACUUAAAAGCAACAAUCGUACCAAGAAAUCUGACCUUGUCAGACUGUGUCUGAAGGGUUCAACAUUCAAAAUUGCCUUACUCUUCCAUGUUGACUCUCAUGAUGUGAAUGGAACUCCUGUGAACUCUUGUGCUUUGAAAUGCAUAGAACUGUCAAGUGUUUCUUACGGAAGUAAAUUAAACCUGUGAUUAUUUUAGACAUUUCAAAGUAUUCACAGCUUAGUAGCUUCUGUGUGUUCCUUCUAAGCAGAAAAUGAAAUAGUCAGCUCUAGAAAAUUUGACAUGUCGAAUUUUUUCCAUUCUAAGAAGAGGUUUUAAAUGGAUAAAGUUGUUUGUCAUAUUGAAAAGAAGCUCUGCUGACGCUUCAGUCAUGUGAUGGUGUCCAGCAGUCCUCUGAUAAACUUGACCAAUGCUGUAGGAUUUUUUAAUACAGAAAUAAGAUUAGCCACUAAACUUACGAUACUCAGUCCACCAGCACAGAUCGCCUAAA